GAUGAACGCUGGCGGCGUGCCUAAUACAUGCAAGUAGAACGCUGAAGGAAGGAGCUUGCUCUUUCCGCAUGAGUUGCGAACGGGUGAGUAACACGUAGGUAACCUGCCUGUAAGCGGGGGAUAACUAUUGGAAACGAUAGCUAAUACCGCAUAACAUUUGAUGUCGCAUGAUAUCUUCUUAAAAGGUGCAUUUGCACCACUACCAGAUGGACCUGCGUUGUAUUAGCUAGUUGGUGAGGUAACGGCUCACCAAGGCGACGAUACAUAGCCGACCUGAGAAGGUGAUCGGCCACAAUGGGAAUGGGACAAGGCCCAGACUCCUACGGGAGGGAGCAGGAGGGGAUCUUCGGGCAUGGACGGAAGUCUGAACGAGGCACGCCGGGGGAGGGGAGAAGGGUCUCGGAUCGGAAAGAUCUGUUGUAAGGGAAGAAAGAGUGUGGGAGUGGAAAGUUCACACUGUGACGGUAUCUAACCAGAAAGGGACGGCUAACUACGUG
rnacentral:rRNA from 1 species